GGACCCUUGAUCCAAAUCAAAAGGUGACACUGGAAAUUACAUACUCGACCACCGCUGUACUUGGUAAAAAAAAGAAUCUGGAAAUUUUUGUUAGAGUGAACGCGCUAAGCGGAAGCGAGAUUAAUGAUGAAAAUAACAACGCCACCAUUUCUAUGAUUGUCAAGCGCAAUGUCAGACUAGAAAUUACCGGCACAACUGUUCCUAAGUCACUAAACUAUCCAGAAAAGGUCCUGAUUUAAAUAUAAUAGACAACGACUAUAGCUCUGUGAACAUUUCUUCUAUUGGACCACCAAUAACCAUUACCAUCGAGGUUGCAAAUGAAGGUCAAAGUGAUUUAGAAGAUGUGAAACUUCAUAUAAGCGUCCCUCUAACCGAAAAAGACAAGGAAUUCAAUUAUCUUCUGUAUCCUGUCAGUAUUAAGGGAAGAGGUGAUGCCAACAACGCAGAAUGCAGUGGAAGAGCCUUGAAUCCUGCUAACCUGUCUUUAACUGCGGACCCGCAAGGAAGAACUAGACGGAGAAGAAAUACAGAAACCCUGUCACCUCGGACGAUGGAUUCAGGACUGGUGACCUGUACAAUCAAAGAAA